UGAGGAAUAUUGGGCAAUGGACGAAAGUCUGACCCAGCCAUGCCGCGUGGAGGAUGAAGGCCCUCUGGGUUGUAAACUUCUUUUAUUGGGGAAGAAAAGCACUGUUUCUACGGUGUCCGACGGUACCCAAGGAAUAAGCACCGGCUAACUCCGUGCCAGCAGCCGCGGUAAUACGGAGGGUGCAAGCGUUAUCCGGAUUUACUGGGUUUAAAGGGUGCGUAGGCGGGCUAGUAAGUCAGAGGUGAAAUCUCCAAGCUUAACUUGGAAACUGCCCCUGAUACUAUUAGUCUUGAAUAUCGAUGAGGUGGGCGGAAUACAUCAUGUAGCGGUGAAAUGCUUAGAUAUGAUGUAGAACACCGAUUGCGAAGGCAGCUCACUAACCGAUUAUUGACGCUGAGGCACGAAAGCGUGGGGAUCAAACAGG
rnacentral:rRNA from 1 species